CCGCCGUGUUCCGGGGCCUGGCGCGUGCCCGCUACGCGCUGCGGGGUGCCAGCCCCUUCCGGUUCGGCUCCUUCGCCUCCUGCUCCUUCAGCAGGGAGCGGGCCGAGAGCUUCGGGCAGGACACGUUCCUCAGCAUCCGCAGCUGCUUCGGGGUCCCCAUCCACGCCUUCUCCCUCUACACGGAGGAGGAGGAGGUGCUGAUCCCCGGCCACGAGAUCUUCUGGGUCUUCCCGGACGGCGGCAGCCACCGCUUCGUGCUGCGGAGCGCCAACAGGACCUGCAGCCACUUCAACUGCGCCUUCCUGGGCCAUGAGAAGAGCCCCGAGUGCAGGGGCAGCGCAGCCAUUCCCGGGCACAGGGACGAGCUGUGAGCGCAGAACCCGGCGGCCGGGCAGCUGCACGUGCACGAGGGACGCAUCGGGACCGGCUGCAGCGGGGCAGAGCUGCUCGCUGCCCUGUGCCGUGCCGCGCUGCGCUGUGCGUCACAGCCUGGGGACGGCAGCAGCGUUCCCUUGUUGGGGAGAGCUGCAGGGGCUGCGAGGGGCACGGGGGGCUCUGCGUGGGGAGCUGCGGGGAUGGAGCGGAAGGCGUGCGGGGAAGAGCCCAGCGAGCAGAGCAGCCGGGCAGAGCGCAGCAGGCCCUGCAGGAAGCGGCCUUGUCCAUCACGCACUAAAACCCCCACGGUUCCUCUCCAAAAGCUGCCUGUGCCGUUCGUGGGGAGGGGCCCAGAAGCCCGAGGGGGGCCCACCAAAGGGCCACGGCUCCACCACCCGCAGCACAGCUGGACCCGUCCUCAGCCGCGCGGCGCUGGGGCCCUCAGCAGCUCAGCACCGCGCACUGGGAUCGGGGCAGCACGGCAGGUUGCAGCUGCCCCACAGCCC